rnacentral:rRNA from 1 species
AUUGAACGCUGGCGGCAUGCCUUACACAUGCAAGUCGAACGGUAACAGGUCUUCGGAUGCUGACGAGUGGCGAACGGGUGAGUAAUACAUCGGAACGUGCCCGAUCGUGGGGGAUAACGAGGCGAAAGCUUUGCUAAUACCGCAUACGAUCUACGGAUGAAAGCGGGGGAUCUUCGGACCUCGCGCGGACGGAGCGGCCGAUGGCAGAUUAGGUAGUUGGUGGGAUAAAAGCUUACCAAGCCGACGAUCUGUAGCUGGUCUGAGAGGAUGAUCAGCCACACUGGGACUGAGACACGGCCCAGACUCCUACGGGAGGCAGCAGUGGGGAAUUUUGGACAAUAGGCGAAAGCCUGAUCCAGCCAGGCCGCGUGCAGGAUGAAGGCCUUCGGGUUGUAAACUGCUUUUGUACGGAACGAAAAGCCUCUUUCUAAUAAAGAGGGGUCAUGACGGUACCGUAAGAAUAAGCACCGGCUAACUACGUG